rnacentral:rRNA from 1 species
UACGGAGGGUGCAAACGUUGCUCGGAAUCAUUGGGCGUAAAGCGCACGUAGGCGGUCUGUUAAGUCGGAUGUGAAAGCCCCGGGCUCAACCCGGGAAGUGCAUACGAAACUGGCGGACUUGAAUAUGGAAGAGGGUCGCGGAAUUCCCGGUGUAGAGGUGAAAUUCGUAGAUAUUCGCAAGAACACCAGUGGCGAAGGCGGCUCACUGGCCCGGUACUGACGCUGAGGUGCGAAAGCGUGGGGAGCAAACAGG